GACGCCGUUCCCCCGCGCCUUCUCCUCUCCCGAUCCUUGCCCUAACCGUACGCGAUGGUUCCAUCUCCCCCUAUUUCUCCCUUUGCCCGAACCCCUUCCUCUUCCUCUCCUUCUCCCGACGCCGAGCAACGCCAAAGCCUCUCCCCUCCCUCUCGCGCGGAUGAAUUGAAGACGACAGAAUAGAGCCUCUACCUUUGGCGAUCGACGGUGUCACCUGAUGAGGAAGUUGCCGGACCUCGACGGUACCAGUGGAGUCCAAGUCAUCUUCGGUCUAGUGGUCGCUUCUCCGGUGGUUCCUGCGACCGAUUGUUGAUGGCACUGUGGCUAGGUCAGAGUGAGGGACCAGAUCUCACAUCGUCUCCAACCGGUAGACCUUCCCUCUUCUCUCCUCACGCUACUCACGGAGUGACCCACAUCUUCACUGGCCAGAUCGGACUGAGCGACGCCAUCGGCGAGGAGUGAUCUUGGAGGUAAGGUGGAAGAUUGCUUGUUUUCGACCACCAUAUCACUGUUAUCUUGCAGCCGCAUCGUUGGAUCUUGGAAGGGAAGAGUGAGGUUUUGUUCUGUGGGGUGCUCUUAGUUCCAGCAGCCACUCCACCCAGCAGUUAACCCUUCUAGCAGCAACAACCACCUUGUUCCAGCAACCUUUUCAGCUGUGAAUUGAGGACUCUGAUUCGAGACGGGCAUCUCGACUUUGGAUUGCUUGGUGCUACCUUCUUUUUGAGGCGGGUACCUUGACUUAUCUUUUAGAUAAUGUCUUGUUGAUAUGCUUAGUAGAUUUUAACAAGUAGUAAUAAUUAUGUUUAUAUCUACAUCAACAUGUCACUAUUUGUUUCCAAACAUGUUUUGUUAUAUUUGUUACUUGUUUAGCAUUCAUGCCCUGUUUAUUAUUUAUAUUAUAGAGGUAGUGAUAUGUCACGCCUCAUGAUAUACCGGACUAGUUAGCUACCAUAUCUGACCUGUGUACCUAGAUCGAUUUAUUUGAUCCCUUUAUUUUUGGUAUACGUUUUAUGGAGGUAGAUAUGGUUAGAAUUUGUAUGCUUAGUGUCAUGCACCAUCUCACAUGAUUGCAUGUUGUGCGAUAGUUGGCUCAAUUAUUGUUAAGCACAUCGCCAGUUACAUAA